UGGCUGAGUGGUAAAGCACUUGGCUUCCAAACCAGGGGUCCUGGGUUCGAGUCCUUG
rnacentral:tRNA from 1 species